GUCCACGCCGUAAACGAUGGAUACUAGCUGUUGGGGGCAACUUCAGUGGCUAAGCGAAAGUGAUAAGUAUCCCACCUGGGGAGUACGUUCGCAAGAAUGAAACUCAAAGGAAUUGACGGGGGCCCGCACAAGCGGUGGAGCAUGUGGUUUAAUUCGAUGAUACGCGAGGAACCUUACCAAGGCUUAAAUGUAGAUUGACCGUUUUGGAAACAGAACUUUCGCAAGACAAUUUACAAGGUGCUGCAUGGUUGUCGU
rnacentral:rRNA from 1 species